GUGAUGUUGUGUGCCGCCCCUGAGCCGUGAUGUCAUUCCUGUCGGGGCUGA
rnacentral:snoRNA from 2 species